GAUGAACGCUGGCGGCGUGCCUAAUACAUGCAAGUCGAGCGAACAGACGAGGAGCUUGCUCCUCUGACGUUAGCGGCGGACGGGUGAGUAACACGUGGAUAACCUACCUAUAAGACUGGGAUAACUUCGGGAAACCGGAGCUAAUACCGGAUCAUAUAUUGAACCGCAUGGUUCAAUAGUGAAAGACGGUUUUGCUGUCACUUAUAGAUGGAUCCGCGCCGCAUUAGCUAGUUGGUAAGGUAACGGCUUACCAAGGCAACGAUGCGUAGCCGACCUGAGAGGGUGAUCGGCCACACUGGAACUGAGACACGGUCCAGACUCCUACGGGAGGCAGCAGUAGGGAAUCUUCCGCAAUGGGCGAAAGCUUGACGGAGCAACGCCGCGUGAGUGAUGAAGGUCUUCGGAUCGUAAAACUCUGUUAGUAGGGAAGAACAAAUGUGUAAGUAACUAUGCACGUCUUGACGGUACCUAAUCAGAAAGCCACGGCUAACUACGUG
rnacentral:rRNA from 1 species